GACGAACGCUGGCGGCAUGCCUAAUACAUGCAAGUCGAGCGAACAGAUGAAGUGCUUGCACUUCUGACGUCAGCGGCGAACGGGUGAGUAACACGUAAGGAAUCUACCUAUAAGCGGGGGAUAACAUUCGGAAACGGGUGCUAAUACCGCAUAAUAUCUUCUUCCGCAUGGAAGAAGAUUGAAAGACGGCUCUGCUGUCACUUAUAGAUGACCUUGCGGUGCAUUAGUUAGUUGGUGGGGUAAUGGCCUACCAAGACGAUGAUGCAUAGCCGACCUGAGAGGGUGAUCGGCCACAUUGGGACUGAGACACGGCCCAAACUCCUACGGGAGGCAGCAGUAGGGAAUCUUCCGCAAUGGGCGAAAGCCUGACGGAGCAAUGCCGCGUGAGUGAAGAAGGCCUUCGGGUCGUAAAACUCUGUUAUAAGAGAAGAACAAAUUGUAGAGUAACUGCUACAGUCUUGACGGUAUCUUAUCAGAAAGCCACGGCUAACUACGUGCCAGCAGCCGCUGUAA
rnacentral:rRNA from 1 species